GCAGCCGCGGUAACACCGGCGGCCCGAGUGGUGAUCGUGAUUAUUGGGUCUAAAGGGUCCGUAGCCGGUUGGUCAGUCCUCCGGGAAAUCUGAUAGCUCAACUAUUAGGCUUUCGGGGGAUACUGCCAGACUUGGAACCGGGAGAGGUAAGAGGUACUACAGGGGUAGGAGUGAAAUCUUGUAAUCCCUGUGGGACCACCUGUGGCGAAGGCGUCUUACCAGAACGGGUUCGACGGUGAGGGACGAAAGCUGGGGGCACGAACCGGAUUAGAUACCCGGGUAGUCCCAGCCGUAAACGAUGCUCGCUAGGUGUCAGGCAUGGCGCGACCGUGUCUGGUGCCGCAGGGAAGCCGUGAAGCGAGCCACCUGGGAAGUACGGCCGCAAGGCUGAAACUUAAAGGAAUUGGCGGGGGAGCACAACAACGGGUGGAGCCUGCGGUUUAAUUGGACUCAACGCCGGACAACUCACCGGGGGCGACAGCAAUAUGUAGGCCAAGCUGAAGACUUUGCCUGAAUCGCUGAGAGGUGGUGCAUGG
rnacentral:rRNA from 1 species